rnacentral:tRNA from 1 species
GCUCCUGUAGCUCAGCGGUAGAGCACCAAACUUAUAAUUUGGUGGUCCUUGGUUCGAUCCCAAGCAGGAGCA